rnacentral:rRNA from 1 species
UACGAAGGGGGCUAGCGUUGUUCGGAUUUACUGGGCGUAAAGCGCACGUAGGCGGAUCGUUAAGUCAGGGGUGAAAUCCUGGAGCUCAACUCCAGAACUGCCUUUGAUACUGGCGAUCUCGAGUCCGGAAGAGGUGAGUGGAACUCCUAGUGUAGAGGUGGAAUUCGUAGAUAUUAGGAAGAACACCAGUGGCGAAGGCGACUUACUGGACACAUAUUGACGCUGAGGUGCGAAAGCGUGGGGAGCAAACAGG